rnacentral:rRNA from 1 species
GACGAACGCUGGCGGCGUGCUUAACACAUGCAAGUCGAACGGAAAGGCCCUGCUUGUGUGGGGUGCUCGAGUCGGGAGGGGGUGUGUAACACGUGAGUAACCUGGCCUUGGCUUUGGGAUAACUUCAGGAAACUGCGGCUAACACCGGCUAGGAGCUCCUGCUGCAUGGGGGGGGUUGGAAAGUUUGGGCGGUUGUGGAUGGACGCGCGGCUUAUCAGCUUGUUGGUUGGGGAGUGGCUUAGGAAGGGUUUGACGGGUAGCCGGCAUGAGAGGGUGGCCGGCCACAUUGGGCCUGCGAUACGGCCCAGACUGCUACGGGAGGCAGCAGUGGGGAAUAUUGCACAAUGGGCGGACGCGUGAUGCAGAAACGCCGCGUGCGGGAUGACGGCCUUCGGGUUGUAAACCGCUUUAGCCUGUGACGAAGCGUGAGUGACGGUAAUGGGUAAAGAAGCACCGGCUAACUACGUG